AUGGAGGAUCACUGACAGGAGCGUGGAAGACUCCAGAAUCCACUCUGGGUGGAAUCCGGUGGAUACAGCAGUGUUACAGAACAGUUCUCCACAGUCACUGUCCACAUGGGUCAGUGGGACCAAGAAGCACUCUGCUAAUGUGUGGACUCUGACCAGCAACAUCCAGCAAGACCCAGACAGCGUUUUCUAUCUCCCUGCUGGAGUUUUUUUGUUUGUCUGUGACUGGAGAGUCAGAUUUUUGUUGAGGCUGGAGGAACAGCCUCACACUUGCAGAGGUUAAUACACUCUACUGAUCCCUGAUGGGAGAAUCUUCACCUCUGCCAACAAAGAAGCCUGGUGGAUAUUUGUUUGCAGUCUGAUGAUGGGACAUCAUGCUCUGCAUCUUCAAAGUUUGUCUCUUGAUUAUUAUUCAUACACAGUAAUGUGAAGCAUGCUUAUAUCUAGUAUAACUGGACCAACCUGGUGCUCUUCAUUUAUGGAGGCUGUUGAGUCUGAAUGUUGGAUGUUGUGUAUCUCGUGUUCUCUGGGCUUUGUUGUCCUCAGUCUUUUUGCAGGAUCAGAAAACAAAACCAGGAGGCACGUAAAUGUUUCUUCUCCAAUUGGAUGAUGAUAAGACUGUGACAUGGGAUGCCACCUUUAGUCUUGUGAUGAAGCAAAGCUCAGGAAGAAGUGUGAUUAAAUGGUACCCACAUGUGUGCUGCUGAGAAGGAUGUACAGGGGCACCUGCAGCCAAAUCCAAGCCUCCUCAGCAACUUCAAGUCUGUCAGCGUGCUGAGGUCACAGAAACAAGAAAAGCAGCUUGACUUCAGAGUGUUGUUUACAGUUUUCUGUCAUCAUGAUCUCCCCUGAAGUUUAUCACUAUUAUACAAGCAAUGGUGAUGGUGUGGAGAGACAGUGGUGUUUCCUCAGAAGAACUAGCAGAGUCACAAAGGACACGAGUCCAUCUCACCCCCUUGACUUGCUGACUGAUGCUCGUCUGCACUGCACAGAGGAAAUCAACUGACCGAGCAGGAAUGGAGAAAUGGAAUCAAAGGGAGAAGUUUUUGAUGUUUUUGUAAUGAUGUAAGUAAAUCUCCAGUUUCUGAGUGAGGGAGAGAGGAGUCAUCAUCCAGGUAAAGUGACGUGGAUCAGUGGAUACACUUGUCUCCCCUUUAAAGGAGACACUCUUAGAGAGAGACGAUCCGAGUCAUCAUAAAAUGUUAGUGCUUUCAAAUACACAAACAUUUUUAAAGGACAAAAUCGAACAUCCCACUUUGACUGUAAUACAAUUAAAUCUUUGCAUGUGUGUUUUCAAACUCUCAGAUGGGCAGGAUAUCACUAUUGGACUGUCUAACCUGCAGGAGCAGCACUGAAUGACCACCACACAUGAGCAUGUUCCUGCAACAUUCAGCAGCUUUGCUUUUGUGUCAAAUGUCAAACAGCUGGAGAGGAGACUAAACCAGUGUACUGGGAUGUUUCACCAACACGUGCCAGACGCUGUAACUUCAUGGUUUCAUCACCAGAGACAGCCCCGCCCACCUCAGGACCUCGCCAUUGAUCAUGAUGAUUAUAAUAAUGACAGCGAGCGGAACUAAAACUGUAAAAAUCCAUGACCAGAAUGUUUAGAUGCUUUCUAAUUAUUAAUGAAUACUGAGAGCCUCUUUCUGUGUUUUGUCUGUUUUGUUUUGUUUUUUACCUCAUUUGUUACUAACAAAGUUCACCAAACUCACACAGUUUACAUUCUGUAUGUUUCCAUCUUUACCAGCCACACUCUACCCGCAAUUAAGCAAAUAAUCCUUAGAAAUCGUCGUUUUUCUCUUUUGUAAUUGAUGAUAAUUCAGUGAAUAUACUGCGCUGCUUCCUUUUAUUGCAUCACACAUUGCUUUAAGUUUUUCAGUGUCCAGUUAUUUUUUUACUGCUGUUUGAAUUCUCUGCAUGUUUGACCCUGUAGGCUGUUUAAUGGACUGCUUGUCUUGUAACCGCUGCCUGUUUUUGACUAAAGAUUUGGAUUUCUGACUUUAACACAG